CGAUCUGUAGCGGGUCUGAGAGGAUGAUCCGCCACACUGGAACUGAGACACGGUCCAGACUCCUACGGGAGGCAGCAGUGGGGAAUUUUGGACAAUGGGGGCAACCCUGAUCCAGCCAUGCCGCGUGAGUGAAGAAGGCCUUCGGGUUGUAAAGCUCUUUCGGCCGGGAAGAAAUCGCAUGGGCCAAUACCCUGUGUGGAUGACGGUACCGGAAUAAGAAGCACCGGCUAACUACGUGCCAGCAGCCGCGGUAAUACGUAGGGUGCGAGCGUUAAUCGGAAUUACUGGGCGUAAAGCGUGCGCAGGCGGUUUUGUAAGACAGGCGUGAAAUCCCCGGGCUUAACCUGGGAACUGCGUUUGUGACUGCAAGGCUAGAGUACGGCAGAGGGGGGUGGAAUUCCACGUGUAGCAGUGAAAUGCGUAGAGAUGUGGAGGAACACCAAUGGCGAAGGCAGCCCCCUGGGUCGAUACUGACGCUCAGGCACGAAAGCGUGGGUAGCAAACAGGAUUAGAUACCCUGGUAGUCCACGCCCUAAACUAUGUCAACUAGGUGUUGGGUGGGUAAAACCAUUUAGUACCGUAGCUAACGCGUGAAGUUGACCGCCUGGGGAGUACGGCCGCAAGGUUAAAACUCAAAGGAAUUGACGGGGACCCGCACAAGCGGUGGAUGAUGUGGAUUAAUUCGAUGCAACGCGAAAAACCUUACCUACCCUUGACAUGCCAGGAACUUGCCAGAGAUGGCUUGGUGCCCGAAAGGGAGCCUGGACACAGGUGCUGCAUGGCUGUCGUCAGCUCGUGUCGUGAGAUGUUGGGUUAAGUCCCGCAACGAGCGCAACCCUUGUCGUUAAUUGCCAUCAUUUGGUUGGGCACUUUAACGAGACUGCCGGUGACAAACCGGAGGAAGGUGGGGAUGACGUCAAGUCCUCAUGGCCCUUAUGGGUAGGGCUUCACACGUCAUACAAUGGUCGGUACAAAGGGUUGCCAAGCCGCGAGGCGGAGCCAAUCCCAGAAAGCCGAUCGUAGUCCGGAUUGCAGGCUGCAACUCGCCUGCAUGAAGUCGGAAUCGCUAGUAAUCGUGGAUCAGCAUGUCACGGUGAAUACGUUCCCGGGUCUUGUACACACCGCCCGUCACACCAUGGGAGCGGGUUCCGCCAGAAGUAGGUAGCCUAACCGCAAGGGGGGCGCUUACCACGGCGGGGUUCGUGACUGGGGUGAAGUCGGAACAAGGUA
rnacentral:rRNA from 1 species